rnacentral:rRNA from 1 species
UACGUAGGGUCCGAGCGUUUGUCCGGAAUUAUUGGGCGUAAAGGGCUCGUAGGCGGUCCGUCGCGUCGGGAGUGAAACUCGGGGCUCAACCCCGAGCCUGCAGUGGAUACGGGCGGGCUAGAGUGCGGUAGGGGAGACUGGAAUUCCUGGUGUAGCGGUGAAAUGCGCAGAUAUCAGGAGGAACACCGGUGGCGAAGGCGGGUCUCUGGACCGAUACUGACACUGAGGAGCGGAAAGCGUGGGGAGCGAACAGG